rnacentral:rRNA from 1 species
UUAAGCGACUAAGCGUACACGGUGGAUGCCCUGGCAGUCAGAGGCGAUGAAGGACGUGCUAAUCUGCGAUAAGCGUCGGUAAGGUGAUAUGAACCGUUAUAACCGGCGAUUUCCGAAUGGGGAAACCCAGUGUGUUUCGACACACUAUCAUUAACUGAAUCCAUAGGUUAAUGAGGCGAACCGGGGGAACUGAAACAUCUAAGUACCCCGAGGAAAAGAAAUCAACCGAGAUUCCCCCAGUAGCGGCGAGCGAACGGGGAGCAGCCCAGAGUCUGAAUCAGCUUGUGUGUUAGUGGAAGGGUCUGGAAAGUCCGACGGUACAGGGUGAUAGUCCCGUACACCAAAAUGCACAGGUUGUGAACUCGAAGAGUAGGGCGGGACACGUGGUAUCCUGUCUGAAUAUGGGGGGACCAUCCUCCAAGGCUAAAUACUCCUGACUGACCGAUAGUGAACCAGUACCGUGAGGGAAAGGCGAAAAGAACCCCGGCGAGGGGAGUGAAAAAGAACCUGAAACCGUGUACGUACAAGCAGUGGGAGCACGCUUAGGCGUGUGACUGCGUACCUUUUGUAUAAUGGGUCAGCGACUUAUAUUCUGUAGCAAGGUUAACCGAAUAGGGGAGCCGAAGGGAAACCGAGUCUUAACUGGGCGUUAAGUUGCAGGGUAUAGACCCGAAACCCGGUGAUCUAGCCAUGGGCAGGUUGAAGGUUGGGUAACACUAACUGGAGGACCGAACCGACUAAUGUUGAAAAAUUAGCGGAUGACUUGUGGCUGGGGGUGAAAGGCCAAUCAAACCGGGAGAUAGCUGGUUCUCCCCGAAAGCUAUUUAGGUAGCGCCUCGUGAAUUCAUCUUCGGGGGUAGAGCACUGUUUCGGCUAGGGGGUCAUCCCGACUUACCAACCCGAUGCAAACUGCGAAUACCGAAGAAUGUUAUCACGGGAGACACACGGCGGGUGCUAACGUCCGUCGUGAAGAGGGAAACAACCCAGACCGCCAGCUAAGGUCCCAAAGUCAUGGUUAAGUGGGAAACGAUGUGGGAAGGCCCAGACAGCCAGGAUGUUGGCUUAGAAGCAGCCAUCAUUUAAAGAAAGCGUAAUAGCUCACUGGUCGAGUCGGCCUGCGCGGAAGAUGUAACGGGGCUAAACCAUGCACCGAAGCUGCGGCAGCGACACUAUGUGUUGUUGGGUAGGGGAGCGUUCUGUAAGCCGUUGAAGGUGUGCUGUGAGGCAUGCUGGAGGUAUCAGAAGUGCGAAUGCUGACAUAAGUAACGAUAAAGCGGGUGAAAAGCCCGCUCGCCGGAAGACCAAGGGUUCCUGUCCAACGUUAAUCGGGGCAGGGUGAGUCGACCCCUAAGGCGAGGCCGAAAGGCGUAGUCGAUGGGAAACAGGUUAAUAUUCCUGUACUUGGUGUUACUGCGAAGGGGGGACGGAGAAGGCUAUGUUAGCCGGGCGACGGUUGUCCCGGUUUAAGCAUGUAGGCGGAGGUUCCAGGUAAAUCCGGUACCUUUUUAACGCUGAGGUGUGAUGACGAGGCACUACGGUGCUGAAGUAACAAAUGCCCUGCUUCCAGGAAAAGCCUCUAAGCAUCAGGUAACAUCAAAUCGUACCCCAAACCGACACAGGUGGUCAGGUAGAGAAUACCAAGGCGCUUGAGAGAACUCGGGUGAAGGAACUAGGCAAAAUGGUGCCGUAACUUCGGGAGAAGGCACGCUGAUAUGUAGGUGAAGUCCCUUGCGGAUGGAGCUGAAAUCAGUCGAAGAUACCAGCUGGCUGCAACUGUUUAUUAAAAACACAGCACUGUGCAAACACGAAAGUGGACGUAUACGGUGUGACGCCUGCCCGGUGCCGGAAGGUUAAUUGAUGGGGUCAGCGCAAGCGAAGCUCUUGAUCGAAGCCCCGGUAAACGGCGGCCGUAACUAUAACGGUCCUAAGGUAGCGAAAUUCCUUGUCGGGUAAGUUCCGACCUGCACGAAUGGCGUA